UACAGAGGUCUCAAGCGUUGUUCGGAUUCAUUGGGCGUAAAGGGCGCGUAGGUGGCCCGGUAAGCGUGCGGUGAAAGCUUGGGGCUCAACCCCGAGUCGGCCGUGCGAACUGCUGGGCUUGAGCACUGUAGAGGCAGGCGGAAUUCCGGGUGUAGCGGUGGAAUGCGUAGAGAUCCGGAAGAACACCGGUGGCGAAGGCGGCCUGCUGGGCAGUAGCUGACACUGAGGCGCGACAGCGUGGGGGAGCAAACAGG
rnacentral:rRNA from 1 species